GUUUUUUUAAGUUGUCACUAAGGUCUUAAGUGAUUGAAAAAUAGAACGAUCAAGUCAAACACUAUGUCUUAAGUUGUUCUGUCUUACCUUUGUUCUAGAGUUUUUUGUAAGUUUCCAAAAUAAAACUUAGGCAUUUGCCUUGUUCUCGAAAGAUAUAGAAGUAGAGCUUUAAAAGUUUUAGCAUACUUACUUUGAAUUUUGCUAUGUCAAUGCUCGGAGCAAGGGAGAGGAAUGUCAUACUCCUAGAUCAAGACCUUUGACCUUUUUGAAAAGUUUGUCAUCUCUUACUGGCAUAUUGCUUAUUAGAGGGACCAUGGGCUAUCAUUUUUUUCUCUCUCUUCUUUUUUUAAGUGGGCACCAAGUACCCCUAAUUCUACUAUCGGACAUGUCUCCAUUUUUCCACUGAGGUGGGUAUCUUUGUACCCCUAAUUCUACUUCGGACACUUGUCCAUUUUUACCUCUUGUCUCACUCUUCUUUUUUUUUUAAUCAAAUUUUUGCAUAGUCUCAUGCCUCUAACGCAAUAAUACUUUGGAAGAGUGAAUCUUUUAUAUUUUUAAAACAAAAAAGAUCUUGAUCUUUGGAGCAUGAUAAUUCUCUCAACCACAACUACAAGAAUUAACAAUGGCUUGAACAAAGCAAGUGCCCACAGUUUAAAUAUUUAUAUCUUAUAAGACUCUAGGUAUUAUGUCAAACAGGAUCUUAUUCAUUUUUUUAUGAAUUUUUAGAUUUUCAAAAGAUAAGAUCUCCAGAACUCUAGCGAAACUUGGAACAAGUUAAAUAGUAGCUCAGACCUUCUCAUAUCAUGUUUGUCAAUUACCUAGACUUGGAUCAAACUUUAUUUUUAUUGUAUUUAAAACUUAGGAUUACACAAAACUAUUGUAUAUUACUCAAAAGAAAAACUUUGUUUGGUUUCAUGGUUAUGCAUUUUUUUAUUUAUUUCUGAAUACUAGUAAAUGAAACCAAGAAAGAAAAGUAAUACUUAUCUAGAUACACGUGGGGGUGCCUCCCCCAAGCUGGAUGUUGACAUAGUCGUUCACUCUUGUGGCCUGCAUGUUCGGUCUCACUCUUCUUAAGCCACAAAAUCCUGCACAACCCAAAUAGACAACAAAACUCGUGGAGCAUGUUAAGGGUUAGGUAAUUGUCUAGAGCUUAUGAGAGCUUAAUGUGAGAAUUCUAUGAACUCAAUCACAUCAAGUUCCUCUACCAGGUUGUUUUGUGGCUCGAGAUAGAUUUUCAAGCGUUGACCAUUUACCUUAAAAGUGUUACCUAUGUCAUCUUGGAUGGUAAUGGCUCCAUGAGUUGAAGUGUCAAUAACCUUGUAUGGUCCAUCCCACUUACUUCGUAGCUUACCAUGCCCAAAGAGCUUAACACUUGAAUUGAAUAGUAGAACCUUAUCUCCAGGCUUAAACUCCUUGUGCUUGAUUCUCUUAUCAUGCCAUCGUUUUGUUCUUUAUUUAUAGAUCCUUGAAUUGUGGUAGGCUUUCUCUCCAUUCAUUUAGCUCAGAUAGUUGCAUCAGACGAUUCUCGCUAGCAAGGUGGAGAUCCAUGUUCCAUUUCUUGAGUGCCCAAUGAGCCUUAAACUCUACUUCCACAGGCAAAUGACAAGUUUUUCCAUAUACAAGUUGAUAAGGUGACAUGCCUAUGGGUGUUUUGAAUGCAGCUCUAUAUGCCCAAAGUGCAUCAGGAAGUUUGUCCUUCCACCCCUUAC
rnacentral:lncRNA from 1 species